CAUUCCUGGUCCAGCUGGAGAACUACCCUCCCAACACAGAGGUCAACCUCACUCUGAUCUGGUGCGUGGUGCUGAAGCUGGCCAGCUUGGGGAUGUUCUCCCUCUCCCUGGGUCAGACCAUACUGUGCAUUGGCAGAGACAAGACCAGCUUGCUGGGAGAACUCCGUGGGGGAGGAGCUGUACAAGCUGAGUAUCUUCAACUUCCUUCUCACCGUGGCCUUCGCCUUCCUGGUCACCCUGCCUCGGAGGCUGCUGGUGGAUCGGUUCUCAGGCCGGUUCUGGGCCUGGCUGGAACGGGAGGAGUUCCUGGUCCCC
rnacentral:sRNA from 1 species